CAGCAGGGAUAAAGAACUCAUCUGGAAACUAGAAAGACUUGAUUCAAGGCUUCCCUCUAACACAGACUAGCUGGGCCACCAUGGGCAAGUCACUUGACAUCAUGGUUCUUUAGGCAACUAAGACUUUACAAAUUGCAGAGAAGAUGCUGACCUGUAUUAAUAGGGAGUUUUCUCUUCUAGGAGUUCUUUCUCAAUGAAAUUACAGCUGUUCAGUUGAAAAUGUCUGGCAUCUGGAAAAGAGAAUUGUUACUGGAUACCUCCAUCUUGAUAACCUUAAAUAUUCACUUAUAAGAGAUCAUUUUCAGAUAAGGAAACUGAGGCUAACAAAGUUGCAUGAUUUGUCAAGGCACCCAGAGCUAUGGUGGCACAUCACACAACUGUGUAGCAGAACCAAAUCCAAUCUGGCCUCAGACAUCAACUCUGCAGGUCUGGAAGAAGCUGGGCAGCUACUAACUCUCUAGCAAUAGGAUGUGGGCCCUGUUACUCCAUAUCGCUCCUGCCGGGCAAUUUGUGCAA
rnacentral:lncRNA from 1 species